AUUCUGAGAUGUGUCAUCUCGGUGCUGAGGAAUGUGCAUUGGAGGCAGUGCUGGAGGUGACACUGUUGCUCAAGUAUGGCUGGUUAUGGUUAUGAAGCAGGCUGCGCCUGCUUCAUCCAUGGACAGAUGCUCACUCUGCCUGCCCCAACUCUUCUUGCUGCCACAGUUCUCCCUUUGGCUCUGCCAGCAGAAGAUGUCACUGUUCUCAAACCUGCACCCUUCCGAAAACAAGAGCUUCCUGUCUUGUCUCGUCCCCUGCAUGACUUCUGCUGGAAAGGUUGCCAAACAGGCCAUGAAAGAACCAAAUGCCAGCAAGUUUGAUGCUUUUCUUGCUAUCUUCUCAUGUGCAGGGCUGGUGGGUUUUUUGUUAACAUUUUCCCAGUCAUAUCUACCCUUCCUUUUUCUAGCCAAUGGCUACUUGCCAAAAGCAUCUUUUUAAUAGCUAAAUCAUAAAAUUAUUGC
rnacentral:lncRNA from 1 species